ACAUCAGUGAGGUUUAUCCUUACUUUUUUAUCUUAGAAAUAAGAUUACACAAUAUGAUGAUUGGAUUCUAUGAAUAUGUGGUUAUAUUCCACAUUUGUUUUGGGCUUGCAAACCCUUUAUGAAUCCUGUCUGAU